rnacentral:rRNA from 1 species
AUUGAACGCUGGCGGCAUGCUUUACACAUGCAAGUCGAACGGUAACAGGCCGCAAGGUGCUGACGAGUGGCGAACGGGUGAGUAAUGCAUCGGAACGUGCCCAGUCGUGGGGGAUAACGCAGCGAAAGCUGCGCUAAUACCGCAUACGAUCUAUGGAUGAAAGCGGGGGACCGUAAGGCCUCGCGCGAUUGGAGCGGCCGAUGUCAGAUUAGGUAGUUGGUGGGGUAAAGGCCUACCAAGCCAACGAUCUGUAGCUGGUCGGAGAGGACGACCAGCCACACUGGGACUGAGACACGGCCCAGACUCCUACGGGAGGCAGCAGUGGGGAAUUUUGGACAAUGGGCGCAAGCCUGAUCCAGCAAUGCCGCGUGCAGGAAGAAGGCCUUCGGGUUGUAAACUGCUUUUGUACGGAACGAAAAGGCUCUGGUUAAUACCUGGGGCUCAUGACGGUACCGUAAGAAUAAGCACCGGCUAACUACGUGCCAGCCGCCGCGGUAAUAC